CAGUAGCCGCGGUAAAACGUAGGGUGCGAGCGUUAAUCGGAAUUACUGGGCGUAAAGCGUGCGUAGGCGGUUUGUUAAGUCUGCUGUGAAAUCCCCGGGCUCAACCUGGGAAUGGCAGUGGAUACUGGCAAGCUAGAGUGUGUCAGAGGAUGGUGGAAUUCCCGGUGUAGCGGUGAAAUGCGUAGAGAUCGGGAGGAACAUCAGUGGCGAAGGCGGCCAUCUGGGACAACACUGACGCUGAGGCACGAAAGCGUGGGGAGCAAACAGGAUUAGAUACCCCCGUAGUCCCUGUCUCUUAUAC
rnacentral:rRNA from 1 species